GACAGAGGGUGCAAACGUUGUUCGGAAUUACUGGGCGUAAAGCGCGUGUAGGCGGCCAUCUAAGUCGGGCGUGAAAUCCCACGGCUCAACCGUGGAAGUGCACUCGAAACUGGAUGGCUAGAGUCCUGGAGAGGAAGGUGGAAUGCUUGGUGUAGAGGUGAAAUUCGUAGAUAUCAAGCGGAACACCGGUGGCGAAGGCGGCCUUCUGGACAGUGACUGACGCUGAGACGCGAAAGCGUGGGGGAGCAAACAGG
rnacentral:rRNA from 1 species